GUGCUGCAUGGGCGCAGCCUGAUGCAGCGACGCCGCGUGAGGGAUGACGGCCUUCGGGUUGUAAACCUCUUUCAGUAGGGAAGAAGCGAAAGUGACGGUACCUGCAGAAGAAGCGCCGGCUAACUACGUGCCAGCAGCCGCGGUAAUACGUAGGGCGCAAGCGUUAUCCGGAAUUAUUGGGCGUAAAGAGCUCGUAGGCGGUUUGUCGCGUCUGCCGUGAAAGUCCGGGGCUCAACUCCGGAUCUGCGGUGGGUACGGGCAGACUAGAGUGAUGUAGGGGAGACUGGAAUUCCUGGUGUAGCGGUGAAAUGCGCAGAUAUCAGGAGGAACACCGAUGGCGAAGGCAGGUCUCUGGGCAUUAACUGACGCUGAGGAGCGAAAGCAUGGGGAGCGAACAGGAUUAGAUACCCUGGUAGUCCAUGCCGUAAACGUUGGGCACUAGGUGUGGGGGACAUUCCACGUUUUCCGCGCCGUAGCUAACGCAUUAAGUGCCCCGCCUGGGGAGUACGGCCGCAAGGCUAAAACUCAAAAAAAAUUGACGGA
rnacentral:rRNA from 1 species